ensembl:lncRNA
AAAUAAAGUUAUGUAAUUGGAGACAGGGUCUUUAAAGGGGUGAUUAAGUUACAAUGAAGUUAUAUACCGUCUUUAGGAGAAAAGUUUAAGACUCAGACACAGAGGGAAGGCCUUGCAAAGACACCAAAAAAGCCAUUUACAAGCCUAGGAGACUGGCCUCAGAAGAAACCAACCCUGCCCACAUCUUGAUCCCCAGAACAGUCUUCCAGACUCCAGGACUGCGAGAAAAUCAAUUUCUGUUGCUUAGGCCACCCAAUCUGUGGUCUUUUAGAGCAAACAAGAACACUCGCUUUUCUUUUUUGUCUGAUGGUGCAUAUUCAGGAGGAAACAUAGUCACAACACAACUACCUACUGAAACAGACAAGUAACACACUUAACAGGUUAAAAUGUAUUUACUUAUCUACUGUUCUGCCGUUUAUCAAGUAUUUUCACAAGCCCUAACUCUCAAUCUUCGCAGCUGCCUCAGCAUCACCUGGGAAUCUGUUUGAAGUGCAAAUUCUCAGGCCCCACAGAAGUCUUACAGAAUCAGACACUGGAAGGGGCACGAAGCGCGGCAGUCAUGGUGUUUUCACAAACGUUUUGGAGGACUCUGGUGUAGCUAAAGUGCGAGAACCACCGAGGCUGGGUUCCGUCCCGGUGGAGGAGAUUGGGGGAUGCCGUGACUUUUUCACAGGUGCGCGUGGCCAGCAAGGACGAUCGCCUUUGCAACUGGCCCACAGCGUUGGCACGGGUCGCCAGAUUUUAUUUAUCCUUGGAAGGUCUGGAGACUUAGAGGGGCGUCUCAGGGCUCCAGGGUAAGUAGCUGCCUCCGGGCAGCAGAGCCGGUGAGAGACAGGGAGCCCCGAGCCGCCGGGCGCGUGCGCGUGGGCGCGUCCCUGGGCCGGGCGCGCGCCGAGGGGGUGGGUGGCGCCGGCCCUGCCGGCCUGGCGCGCGGUCCGAGCCACUCAGAGCGCCCGGCGGCCAACACCCGGGGGCCCUACAAUUAAUACCGGGCGCCUGCCCGCUGGCCGGGACUCGCGCGCCGGCUCUCGGGGACGUAGGCGCCCGGUCUGCCCUGACGAGCUCGCCACUGGCUCUGCUCCGGCGGCGACGGCGACAGUGGCCCUGGCCGACUCUCGUGGGGCCCCCACCUCCUUGAGAGCGAGCUUGGGCAGGGGACGGUGCCGCACCACCGAGGUCCCGCGCAAGGGUGCGCCCCCGGCCCGGGCCCGGCAGGUGUGCGAGCCCGGUCGGGGCUCGGCAGGAGCGCGCGGAGAAGGUGCUGAAUUGCCUGGAUUGCAACUGUUUGGGAUUCAGGAGUCCAGAGACGGAUCAGCAUACCUCGAGAUACCACGAUUGCUUUGACUCUACUGCGAGCUGCUGGGGAGACCAUGAGACAGUUGGAGUGGAUGGCCUUGAGGACUUGAAAAGCUGACAUAAGAUGAUUUUGAAGUCAUUUCACAUCUGAAGCCAUGAUUUAAAUAUCAGCGUUAAG